rnacentral:lncRNA from 1 species
AAGUGCCCCGGAUAGCUCUGAUCAAUUGUGACCCAGCAAUCCCCCGUCUGGGUACGAACCCGGGAGAACUGGCCUGCCGAGCGAGCCGCACUCACAGGGCCGCAUUCACAAAGCCAAGAAGGAGAAGCGGCUCGUGUGUGGGCGGAGACUGGACAGGCUGGCGACAGGGUGUGGUCCCUGCACCGUGGGCCGCUCCUCCUCGGGCUGAGGCAGGAAGGGCCGCCACUCAGGUGGGCCUGGAAGACAUGCGGUGAAUGAACAGCGUGGAAUCUGCAUGGCCAAGCAGAGGCAUCCCAGACAAGAGAAGCCCCAGAGCAGACCAGUGCAGACCUGUCCAGGACAGGGACACGUGCCCGGGCCACGGGAAGGACUGCAGCUCAGUGCUGCCGGCCCUUGCCCCAUGUGCCUGCAGGGUGGGCGUCCUGCACCGGUGCACAGAGACCUCUUCCCUCAGAGUUCUGGAGGUCGGGAGACCAGGAGGCCAGGAGGCCAGGAGGCCGGGAGGCCAGGCAAGAGAGGGACAGGACACGCUUCUUCUGGGGCUCUGCAGGGGGGUUCUUCCUGCCUCUCCAGACUUUGGUGGCCCCAGGUGUUCUUCAGCCUGUGGCCACUUCCCUCCAGCCUCUUCCCCUGAGGCCCGGUCCCCCCUCCUUGUCAAAUCCUCCUCUGCCUCCCUCUGUCCCUUGAGAGCCAGCCCAGGACACCUCCCCUUUCCACCUCCCAUCCCAUCAGCAGAAGCCCUGCUUCCACUUGAGGUGACUCCAUGGUCCCAAGGCCACACCCCGACGUCCUUGGGGCCAACGUCCAGCUGA